GUGAAAACAAACCGUCCUAAUAUGAUGACGUGCGUAACACGUACUCUCACGUACAGAGUGAGGAUACCUUUGUUUUUUGUCUUUGCUUAUGCAUUUUCAUGUAUGUGCUUCCAUUGAGCAUUUCCAGGCAUGACACAUGACAGUGAUUAGUCUAUCUCUGCCAGGAAAGGAGCAGAAGAUAAGGAAGUUGUCAGGGGUUCUCAAGUCCUUGUUUAGAUCACAAAGGAGCACCUGCCAGUUUGUAAUUUGAUUUCUGGAGGGUCUCAAUUGGAAAGGCCAGGCUGUAACUUGAUUGCAGAGUAUUUUGAUUUAGACAAGAAAGCAGAGCUCUGUGAGAGGAGAGGGAGAAGCUUAACCCCGUAAGGUCAUGGAUACUCUGUGAGAGGACAGGGAGAAGCUUAACCCCGUAAGGUCAUGGAUACUCUGUGAGAGGACAGGGAGAAGCUUAACCCCGUAAGGUCAUGGAUACUCUGUGAGAGGACAGGGAGAAGCUUAACCCCGUAAGGUCAUGGAUACUCUGUGAGAGGACAGGGAGAAGCUUAACCCCGUAAGGUCAUGGAUACUCUGUGAGAGGAGGGGGAUACAGAUGAGAUGGGGAUGGAUGGUAGGAUGGAUGGUAGGAUGGAUGGAUGGAAGGCCCUGUUUUCUAUGAAUAUCCAUCACAGAUUCACCAUGUGUCUGUACACGGUACUGUCUGGAGCCAAUUCUUUUACCUCAUGAACUAUUAUUACUGCUUAUAGUCACAGAGUGUUUUAUUCACAGACCUGUUGGCAGGGUUGUAGAACACACAGCUCACGUAGCGAACCUCAG
ensembl:lncRNA